AGCCCAGUGGUGCAGUGGUAAGAACCUGUGGUUAUGAUGCUGAGGGCCCUGGUUCAAUUCCUGAGCUGUCCAG